rnacentral:rRNA from 1 species
AGACCCGAAACCCGGUGAUCUAGCCAUGGGCAGGUUGAAGGUUGGGUAACACUAACUGGAGGACCGAACCGACUAAUGUUGAAAAAUUAGCGGAUGACCUGUGGCUGGGGGUGAAAGGCCAAUCAAACCGGGAGAUAGCUGGUUCUCCCCGAAAGCUAUUUAGGUAGCGCCUCGUGAAUUCAUCUCCGGGGGUAGAGCACUGUUUCGGCUAGGGGGCCAUCCCGGCUUACCAACCCGAUGCAAACUGCGAAUACCGGAGAAUGUUAUCACGGGAGACACACGGCGGGUGCUAACGUCCGUCGUGAAGAGGGAAACAACCCAGACCGCCAGCUAAGGUCCCAAAGUCAUGGUUAAGUGGGAAACGAUGUGGGAAGGCCCAGACAGCCAGGAUGUUGGCUUAGAAGCAGCCAUCAUUUAAAGAAAGCGUAAUAGCUCACUGGUCGAGUCGGCCUGCGCGGAAGAUGUAACGGGGCUAAACCAUGCACCGAAGCUGCGGCAGCGACACUCAGGUGUUGUUGGGUAGGGGAGCGUUCUGUAAGCCUGCGAAGGUGGCCUGUGAGGGUUGCUGGAGGUAUCAGAAGUGCGAAUGCUGACAUAAGUAACGAUAAAGCGGGUGAAAAGCCCGCUCGCCGGAAGACCAAGGGUUCCUGUCCAACGUUAAUCGGGGCAGGGUGAGUCGACCCCUAAGGCGAGGCCGAAAGGCGUAGUCGAUGGGAAACGGGUUAAUAUUCCCGUACUUGGUGUUACUGCGAAGGGGGGACGGAGAAGGCUAUGUUGGCCGGGCGACGGUUGUCCCGGUUUAAGCGUGUAGGUGUGUGUUCCAGGUAAAUCCGGUUCACUUUAACACUGAGGCGUGACGACGAG